AUUGAACGCUGGCGGCAGGCUUAACACAUGCAAGUCGAGCGGGGUGAUGGUGCUUGCACUAUCACUUAGCGGCGGACGGGUGAGUAAUGCUUAGGAAUCUGCCUAUUAGUGGGGGACAACAUCUCGAAAGGGAUGCUAAUACCGCAUACGUCCUACGGGAGAAAGCAGGGGAUCACUUGUGACCUUGCGCUAAUAGAUGAGCCUAAGUCGGAUUAGCUAGUUGGUGGGGUAAAGGCCUACCAAGGCGACGAUCUGUAGCGGGUCUGAGAGGAUGGUCCGCCACACUGGGACUGAGACACGGCCCAGACUCCGACGGGAGGCAGCAGUGGGGAACAUUGGACAAUGGGGGGAACCCUGAUCCAGCCAUGCCGCGUGUGUGAAGAAGGCCUUAUGGUUGUAAAGCACUUUAAGCGAGGAGGAGGCUCUUUUGGUUAAUACCCAAGAUGAGUGGACGUUACUCGCAGAAUAAGCACCGGCUAACUCAGUGCCAGCAGCCGCAGUAA
rnacentral:rRNA from 1 species